rnacentral:rRNA from 1 species
AUACGUAGGGGGCAAGCGUUGUCCGGAAUUAUUGGGCGUAAAGCGCGCGCAGGCGGCUGUUUAAGUCUGAUGUUUAAGCCCGGGGCUCAACCCCGGUUCGCAUUGGAAACUGGACGGCUUGAGUGCAGGAGAGGAAAGCGGAAUUCCACGUGUAGCGGUGAAAUGCGUAGAGAUGUGGAGGAACACCAGUGGCGAAGGCGGCUUUCUGGCCUGUAACUGACGCUGAGGCGCGAAAGCGUGGGGAGCAAACAGGAUUAGAUACCCUGGUAGUCCACGCCGUAAACGAUGAGUGCUAGGUGUUGGGGGUUUCGAUACCCUCGGUGCCGAAGUAAACACAGUAAGCACUCCGCCUGGGGAGUACGCUCGCAAGAGUGAA